GAUGAACGCUGGCGGCGUGCCUAAUACAUGCAAGUCGAGCGAACAGACGAGGAGCUUGCUCCUCUGACGUUAGCGGCGGACGGGUGAGUAACACGUGGAUAACCUACCUAUAAGACUGGGAUAACUUCGGGAAACCGGAGCUAAUACCGGAUAAUAUAUUGAACCGCAUGGUUCAAUAGUGAAAGACGGCUUUGGUGUCACUUAUAGAUGGAUCCGCGCCGCAUUAGCUAGUUGGUAAGGUAACGGCUUACCAAGGCAACGAUGCGUAGCCGACCUGAGAGGGUGGUCGCCCACCCUGGAGCUGAGACACGGUCCAUGCUCCUACGGGAGGCAGCAGUAGGGAAUCUUCCGCAAUGGGCGAAAGCCUGACGGAGCGGCGCCACGUGAGUGAUGAAGGUCUUCGGAUCGUAAAACUCUGUCAUUAGUGAAGAACAAAUGUGUAAGUAACUGUGCACGUCUUGACGGUACCUAAUCAGAAAGCCACGGCUAACUACGUG
rnacentral:rRNA from 1 species